GUCUCCCAGAGUGAAAGAAUCGUUACAGAAUUCUGAGCUCUUUCCAUCAGCUGAGCCCACAGGCCCUUUGCUCAAUGUCCCAGCCCAGGCGCCUGCUCAACUACCUCAGCCAACAGGACAAGCACUUGCACAGCCUUCUCCAGCUGCUCCCCCUCCAGCUUCUCAGGCACCCGCCGCAGCUCCUCCGGCAGCACAGGUACCUCCUGCCCCGGCAGCAGCCCCAGCACAAGAGGAACCUAAAGUCCCCAUCAGCCUCGUUCUAAGGUUAAGGAAUUCAAAAAAAGAACUUAAUGACAUUCGGUUUGAAUUCACCCCAGGAAGAGA